ensembl:lncRNA
ACAGCGAGGCAGAGAGUAAUACAGCGAGGCAGAGUGAAGUAUAGUGAAGGGAGAGUGAGGCAGAGAGUAAUACAGCGAGGCAGAGUGAAGUACAGCGAGGCAGAGAGUAAUACAGCGUAUAUUUUAAUAGCAGAUUUUAUAGUUCACUUUAGCCUAGUGCACACUACAUGAGUUCCCCCUCCAUAACAAAAUCGCUGAGCGUUACCAUGGCAACCGCUAGUGCUGUGUGACGGGUUCAGCAUCGCGAUGCGCAGUUUGUUGAAGACACCCGGAUGUUUUGUUUAAUGCACGUUCAACCUCCCCGUGACGAAUCGUGUAGCGCGGGCCCCUGUACCCCGAGCCGCGGGAACAGUGCAGCAGAUCCCUAACCCAGUGUGACGUGUACACAACAACGGCACUUCUAGAAGAACCCAGACCGCCGCUAUACCUCCAGUUCUCUUCGCAGAACAGACAAGUCUCCCGCACCCAUCCUUCCUGCACCCUCGUUUCUGGUGUUCGGCGUACUCCCCUUCACACCCGGACGGAGACCCACGCUUUCUGGAGGACCGGAGUUCAGCUGUGAAGCUCCAUUUCCUCCUGCUGCUUCACAAGGAAGGAGUUCUGCAUCAACGUCUGAGCCUGGCACAAAGGUUCAGCACGCCACACUGCUACAUGACAUCACUACACAAACCUCGUCGCGUACUCAAACCCCGGCGCAGGACAAGUCGUUCACAGCCCAGCCUGCGCGAUACGGAAACCGAACCAGCAAACUUUACACGACCUCGCCUCAUCGAGAACUCACAGCGACACGCUCACUUACGGACUCCAAAGUGCAGCAUCAGCAUAAUCCCCGUGACUGAGCACGCUGUAAAACUCUCCCAGUCGAGAUUUGUGGCUUCAUUUGCAUAUUCAAGUCUCCUCUGGCAUCCGUAUCGCAAUAACGUUUAACAAACGACGCAGACGUGCCAAAGAAAACGCGCCCGUGUGCCGGCGCCUUGGACGUCCUCGGAAGAGUUGGACUAUGAAAUAAAACGUUUACAUUAACAUUACUGAGUCAACAGCUCUCGAACACAAACGCGUCUAAAGAUCGGCCCGAGAACAUUUACCUUCCUGACCCGAGAUACCGCGCUCGUGCUAACGCAACAAUUAGCAGAAAAGUAAAUAAACCUGCCAGAAGCUCGUCUCUGGCUGUUCGAGUGGCUCUGUAGACCUUUAAAUCAAAUAUUCUAUACAUUUGUUUGAUAAUUUACUCAGUUCAAUUCGAAAGAAAAGAAAGAAAGAAAAAAGAAAUCGUGAAAGAAGGAGCGAAGAGAAAGCAAGCAAGGACGUGCAACACUCAGCUAAAUAAAUAAAUAAAUAAAUAAAUAGAUAGAUAGAUAGAUAGAUAGAUAGAUAGAUAGAUAGAUAUAUAGAUAGAUAGAAACCAAGGUGCAAAAAACAAAAACGAGCAGAGUAAAGGAAGAGUGAAAGAAAGGGCGGACCAAAAGAGUGAACAAAGGUGGAAAUCAAAAAAGUGGGAAAGAAAGUUCCGAAGACAGCAUGCACGUACCUGCACGUGAAGGAAGGAAAGAAAGAAAAAAG